rnacentral:snRNA from 1 species
GCGCUCGCUUCCGCAGCACACACACUAAACUUGGAGUGAUACAGAGAAGAUUAGUAUGGCCCUGGGUAAGGAUGACGCACAAGCUUGCGAGACUCCAGAGAAAGGG